CCCCGCUUCCUCCCAUGGAUUAUGACACAGGGAUGGUGAUGACAGCUCCUGGCAAGGUCAGGAGUCAGCUCAGCCUGGCCUGAGUCAUGGGAAAGUAAUUUAUAUGAGAGCUGUCAUUGCUUAAGAACCCAAAGUAGGUAGGACCUCCAAACUCUCUUGAUAUUUGCCAUAGUUGCCUUUGAAACCUCAAAAAGGCCAUCCAGACCUGGCCCCUAGUUUACCCGGAAUGCAGUGGUGUCUGGACUUUAUUUGAAUGGCCUGCAAGUCUGUAAAGUCAUUCCUAGUGGUAGAUUUCUUAUCUCCUCAGCCAAAACAAGCACAGAGAGUUCUGGUUAUGAGGCAAUAAAGUUUAUUAGGCUCUGGGAUUACAUUAUAGCAUGACCUGUUAUACACGGUUUCAGAGAUGCUGUGGUUCCAGUCAAGCUCCCCCCACCAUCAUCUACCCGGCCAACAAUGGAACAGACUGGUAGUGAACUCCUGGUCCCUGGAGGCAGCAAAAGAAGCCACUUACCUGAGAAGCCACUUCCUCUUGGAAUCCAGCUGCCAUGCUGGGAGAAUUCUAAGCCACAUGGAGUGGCCAACCAUGUAACUGGGCUCUCAGCCAACAGCAAGCGUCAACUGCCCACCAUAUGAAUGCGCUGUCUUCCAUCCAGCCCUCGAGCCUUCAGAUGACUGCAGCCCUAGCCCCCAUCUGACUGCAGCUGCAGAAAGAAACACUCAACUGGGCACAGUCAACCCCGGAAACAUAAUAAAUUACUGUUUUGUUUUUGUUUUUGA